GUCCAGCUGACUAGUCCCAAAUAGGACAAAAUGCGCGUCUUGGAU
rnacentral:hammerhead_ribozyme from 1 species